GACGAACGCUGGCGGCGUGCCUAAUACAUGCAAGUAGAACGCUGAAGGAGGAGCUUGCUUCUCUGGAUGAGUUGCGAACGGGUGAGUAACGCGUAGGUAACCUGCCUGGUAGCGGGGGAUAACUAUUGGAAACGAUAGCUAAUACCGCAUAAGAGUAGAUGUUGCAUGACAUUUGCUUAAAAGGUGCAAUUGCAUCACUACCAGAUGGACCUGCGUUGUAUUAGCUAGUUGGUGGGGUAACGGCUCACCAAGGCGACGAUACAUAGCCGACCUGAGAGGGUGAUAGGCCACACUGGGACUGAGACCAGGCCCAGACUCCUACGGGAGGCAGCAGUAGGGAAUCUUCGGCAAUGGACGGAAGUCUGACCGAGCAACGCCGCGUGAGUGAAGAAGGUUUUCGGAUCGUAAAGCUCUGUUGUAAGAGAAGAAAGAGUGUGAGAGUGGAAAGUUCACACUGUGACGGUAUCUUACCAGAAAGGGACGGCUAACUACGUG
rnacentral:rRNA from 1 species